rnacentral:piRNA from 1 species
AUGGUUAGCAGAGUGGCGCAGCGGAAGC